ACAUAAAUCCAUACAUGUAUGGCAGAGUUAACCGUUAUUCAAGGACUUUACCAGUAUGCCCAUCCUUCCAACAUGGCCAAUGAAGAUUUUUGGGCGCUAAUCC